UUGUGCUUGCACAGAUGACGACCGGCGCACGGGUGCGUAACGCGUAUAGAACCUACCUUUUACAGAGGAAUAGCCUUUAGAAAUGAAGAUUAAUGCCUCAUAGUAUUGUAGACUGGCAUCAGUUUAUAAUUAAAGAUUUAUCGGUAAAAGAUGGCUAUGCGUCCUAUUAGUUAGUUGGUAAGGUAACGGCUUACCAAGACAGCGAUAGGUAGGGGUCCUGAGAGGGAGAUCCCCCACACUGGUACUGAGACACGGACCAGACUCCUACGGGAGGCAGCAGUGAGGAAUAUUGGACAAUGGAGGAGACUCUGAUCCAGCCAUGCCGCGUGUAGGAAGAAUGCCCUAUGGGUUGUAAACUACUUUUAUACAGGAAGAAACACUGGUAUGUAUACCAGCUUGACGGUACUGUAAGAAUAAGGACCGGCUAACUCCGUGCCAGCAGCCGCGGUAAUACGGAGGGUCCGAGCGUUAUCCGGAAUCAUUGGGUUUAAAGGGUCCGCAGGCGGUCGAUUAAGUCAGAGGUGAAAUCCCAUAGCUCAACUAUGGAACUGCCUUUGAUACUGGUUGACUUGAGUCAUAUGGAA
rnacentral:rRNA from 1 species